ensembl:misc_RNA Metazoa_SRP Metazoan signal recognition particle RNA
GCUGGGCGUGGUUGCGCAUGCCUGUAGUCCCAGCUACUUGGGAGGCUGAGGUGGGAGGAUUGCUUGAGCCAGGAGUUCUGGCUGUAGAGCGCUAUGCCAAUCGGGUGUCCUCACUAAGUUUGGCAACAAUAUGGUGACCUCCUGGGAGUGAAGGACCACCAGGUUGCCUAAGGAGGGGUGAAGUGGCCCAGAGCAGGUCAAAACUCCUGUACUAAUCAGUAGUGGGAUCGUGCCUGUGAAUAGCCACUGCACUCCAGCCUGGGCAACAAAGCAAGACCCUGUUUCUU